GGUUAAGCGACUAAGCGUACACGGUGGAUGCCCUGGCAGUCAGAGGCGAUGAAGGACGUGCUAAUCUGCGAAAAGCGUCGGUAAGGUGAUAUGAACCGUUAUAACCGGCGAUGUCCGAAUGGGGAAACCCAGUGCAAUUCGUUGCACUAUCGUUAACUGAAUACAUAGGUUAACGAGGCGAACCGGGGGAACUGAAACAUCUAAGUACCCCGAGGAAAAGAAAUCAACCGAGAUUCCCCCAGUAGCGGCGAGCGAACGGGGAGCAGCCCAGAGUCUGAAUCAGCUUGUGUGUUAGUGGAACGGUCUGGAAAGUCCGACGGUACAGGGUGAUAGUCCCGUACACCAAAAUGCACAGGUUGUGAACUCGAAGAGUAGGGCGGGACACGUGGUAUCCUGUCUGAAUAUGGGGGGACCAUCCUCCAAGGCUAAAUACUCCUGACUGACCGAUAGUGAACCAGUACCGUGAGGGAAAGGCGAAAAGAACCCCGGCGAGGGGAGUGAAAAAGAACCUGAAACCGUGUACGUACAAGCAGUGGGAGCACCUUCGGGUGUGACUGCGUACCUUUUGUAUAAUGGGUCAGCGACUUAUAUUCUGUAGCAAGGUUAACCGUAUAGGGGAGCCGCAGGGAAACCGAGUCUUAACUGGGCGUUAAGUUGCAGGGUAUAGACCCGAAACCCGGUGAUCUAGCCAUGGGCAGGUUGAAGGUUGGGUAACACUAACUGGAGGACCGAACCGACUAAUGUUGAAAAAUUAGCGGAUGACUUGUGGCUGGGGGUGAAAGGCCAAUCAAACCGGGAGAUAGCUGGUUCUCCCCGAAAGCUAUUUAGGUAGCGCCUCGUGAAUUCAUCUUCGGGGGUAGAGCACUGUUUCGGCUAGGGGGUCAUCCCGACUUACCAACCCGAUGCAAACUACGAAUACCGAAGAAUGUUAUCACGGGAGACACACGGCGGGUGCUAACGUCCGUCGUGAAGAGGGAAACAACCCAGACCGCCAGCUAAGGUCCCAAAGUCAUGGUUAAGUGGGAAACGAUGUGGGAAGGCACAGACAGCCAGGAUGUUGGCUUAGAAGCAGCCAUCAUUUAAAGAAAGCGUAAUAGCUCACUGGUCGAGUCGGCCUGCGCGGAAGAUGUAACGGGGCUAAACCAUGCACCGAAGCUGCGGCAGCGACACUAUGUGUUGUUGGGUAGGGGAGCGUUCUGUAAGCCUGCGAAGGUGACCUGUGAGGGUUGCUGGAGGUAUCAGAAGUGCGAAUGCUGACAUAAGUAACGAUAAAGCGGGUGAAAAGCCCGCUCGCCGGAAGACCAAGGGUUCCUGUCCAACGUUAAUCGGGGCAGGGUGAGUCGACCCCUAAGGCGAGGCCGAAAGGCGUAGUCGAUGGGAAACAGGUUAAUAUUCCUGUACUUGGUGUUACUGCGAAGGGGGGACGGAGAAGGCUAUGUUAGCCGGGCGACGGUUGUCCCGGUUUAAGCAUGUAGGCUGAUUGUCCAGGCAAAUCCGGAUAAUCAAGGCUGAGGUGUGAUGACGAGGCACUACGGUGCUGAAGUAACAAAUGCCCUGCUUCCAGGAAAAGCCUCUAAGCAUCAGGUAACAUUAAAUCGUACCCCAAACCGACACAGGUGGUCAGGUAGAGAAUACCAAGGCGCUUGAGAGAACUCGGGUGAAGGAACUAGGCAAAAUGGUGCCGUAACUUCGGGAGAAGGCACGCUGGUGUGUAGGUGAAGUCCCUGCGGAUGGAGCUGAGACCAGUCGAAGAUACCAGCUGGCUGCAACUGUUUAUUAAAAACACAGCACUGUGCAAACACGAAAGUGGACGUAUACGGUGUGACGCCUGCCCGGUGCCGGAAGGUUAAUUGAUGGGGUUAUCCGUAAGGAGAAGCUCUUGAUCGAAGCCCCGGUAAACGGCGGCCGUAACUAUAACGGUCCUAAGGUAGCGAAAUUCCUUGUCGGGUAAGUUCCGACCUGCACGAAUGGCGUAAUGAUGGCCAGGCUGUCUCCACCCGAGACUCAGUGAAAUUGAACUCGCUGUGAAGAUGCAGUGUACCCGCGGCAAGACGGAAAGACCCCGUGAACCUUUACUAUAGCUUGACACUGAACAUUGAGCCUUGAUGUGUAGGAUAGGUGGGAGGCUUUGAAGCGUGGACGCCAGUCUGCGUGGAGCCAACCUUGAAAUACCACCCUUUAAUGUUUGAUGUUCUAACGUUGGCCCCUUACCGGGGUUGCGGACAGUGUCUGGUGGGUAGUUUGACUGGGGCGGUCUCCUCCCAAAGCGUAACGGAGGAGCACGAAGGUUAGCUAAUCCUGGUCGGACAUCAGGAGGUUAGUGCAAUGGCAUAAGCUAGCUUGACUGCGAGCGUGACGGCGCGAGCAGGUGCGAAAGCAGGUCAUAGUGAUCCGGUGGUUCUGAAUGGAAGGGCCAUCGCUCAACGGAUAAAAGGUACUCCGGGGAUAACAGGCUGAUACCGCCCAAGAGUUCAUAUCGACGGCGGUGUUUGGCACCUCGAUGUCGGCUCAUCACAUCCUGGGGCUGAAGUAGGUCCCAAGGGUAUGGCUGUUCGCCAUUUAAAGUGGUACGCGAGCUGGGUUUAGAACGUCGUGAGACAGUUCGGUCCCUAUCUGCCGUGGGCGCUGGAGAAUUGAGGGGGGCUGCUCCUAGUACGAGAGGACCGGAGUGGACGCAUCACUGGUGUUCGGGUUGUCAUGCCAAUGGCACUGCCCGGUAGCUAAAUGCGGAAGAGAUAAGUGCUGAAAGCAUCUAAGCACGAAACUUGCCCCGAGAUGAGUUCUCCCUGAGACUUUAAGUCUCCUGAAGGAACGUUGAAGACGACGACGUUGAUAGGCCGGGUGUGUAAGCGCAGCGAUGCGUUGAGCUAACCGGUACUAAUGAACCGUGAGGCUUAACCUU
rnacentral:rRNA from 1 species